UAAAAAUAACCACCUCAGCACACUAUUACUCCCUCAACUCUGCGCGAAAUCCUAAAGCAAUGCCUCACAAAGCAGCUAAAUCCCUAGAAACAACGAACUCGCCUUCAACCUUCUUCUUCAAACCAGGUCCCCCUCUCUCUCUUGCUCUCUCUUUGCUUUUUUGCCUGAUUUUUUUUGUUUUUUCUUAGAUGUGUCCCUGGAUGGUUAGAGUCUUAUUGUUUCAACGAGGCAAGUGGGUGUUCCAGAUCCAUCAUUGAAGCUGGAAAUACAUAUUUCCAGGAUUUUAGGCAGUUUUUCUUGGUUGUUUUAUGGGCUUAAAUCGAAGCCGUUUAAGAUCUUCUGCUCCGUUUCACUCCAAGCUUUUGUUUCGUAGACAUCUUCAAUCCAUGAAAUUGUCUUCACCCCUGGGCAAGAUAAAUGCUUCAUAUGCGGUCAGAUGGGCCAUAUAGCAGCAAAUUGUGAAGGAAAGGCAAAUAGGAAGGAAGGAGAAUUUGAUGAGAAAGCUGAUGGAAAAGCUGUGGCCAGAAAGCCAUAUCAAUUCUUGAACAUAUGGACCCUUAGGGAGUAUCUGGAAUAUGAGAUGAGAAUCCCAAAUCCUCCUUUUGAAAUUGACUUGGAACACAUUGUGGAUGAUUUUAUAUUCAUAUGCUUCUUUGUUGGCAAUGAUUUCUUACCUCAUAUGCCUACACUCGAGAUUCGUGAGGAUGCAAUCAACUUGUUAAUGGCAGUAUACAAGAAGGAAUUUAGAUCAUUUGGUGGUUAUUUGACUGAUGGAAGCAAGCCUAAUUUGAGCAGGGUAGAGCAUUUUAUCCAAGCUGUGGGGUCCUAUGAAGAUAAAAUAUUCAACAAAAGAGCACAGUUGCAUCAGACUUUCAGCAGCAUGAUCCCAAAGUUGUCAAGCAAAUUAGCCAAAUGCUGGUGAAUCACCUUGGACUAAAUUUGACCAAAGAUGAUCUGCAAAACGUGGUUGAUUUAAUGGAGCCAUAUGGUCAGAUAAGCAAUGGAAUAGAAUAUCUAUAUCCUCCCCUUGAUACUUUCAGCAGCAUGAUCCCAAAGUUGUCAAGCAAAUUAGCCAAAUGCUGGUGAAUCACCUUGGACUAAAUUUGACCAAAGAUGAUCUGCAAAACAUGGUUGAUUUAAUGGAGCCAUAUGGUCAGAUAAGCAAUGGAAUAGAAUAUCUAAAUCCUCCCCUUGAUGUCGGUAACUAACUUGCUUGUCAUUUUAAAUAUGCAAGUCAAUUGCUAUUAAUAAUUUUAUGUUGGAUUCUUUUUGGACUGAAAAAUAUUUUCUAGGGAAAGUCUAAGAAUCUUAAAUUUUAUAGAAAGCCAAUAAAGUGCUUGCUGGACGAAAUGUGGUGAUUAAUUAAACUCCUAGGUCAUACAUGCUGUUAAUUUUUUAAGAGCUGAUAAAUGAGUAUGACAUAGUGCUCAUAAAUGUUCUAAGGAUGUCUUUAGAUGAAUGGAAUUGUUUGAUAGUUUGAAGUUAUAAAUCUUUGUAUUGAUUUUUCUCAACAA